GUCUGAGGUUAGCAGUAGACUGGCAGGGGAGAGUGGUCUGGGGUUGGUAGUAGACUGUCAGGUGAGAGUGGUCUGGGGUUAGUAGUAGACUGUCAGGGGAGAGUGGUCUGAGGUAGUAGACUGUCAGGGGAGAGUGUUAUGGGUUUAGUAGUAGACUGUCAGGGGAGAGUGGUCUGGGGUUAGUAGUAGACUGUCAGGGGAGAGUGGUCUGGGGUUAGUAGUAGACUGUCAGGGGAGAGUGGUCUGGGUUUAGUAGUAGACUGUGGGAGAGUGGUCUGGGGUUAGUAGUACACUGUCAGGGGAGAGUGGUCAGGGGUUAGUAGUAGACUGUCAGGGGAGAGUGGUCUGGGGUUAGUAGUAGACUGUUGAGGAGAGUGGUCUGGG
rnacentral:lncRNA from 1 species